rnacentral:rRNA from 1 species
GAUGAACGCUGGCGGCGUGCCUAAUACAUGCAAGUCGAGCGAACAGACGAGGAGCUUGCUCCUCUGAUGUUAGCGGCGGACGGGUGAGUAACACGUGGAUAACCUACCUAUAAGACUGGGAUAACUUCGGGAAACCGGAGCUAAUACCGGAUAACAUGUUGAACCGCAUGGUUCAACAGUGAAAGACGGUUUUGCUGUCACUUAUAGAUGGAUCCGCGCCGCAUUAGCUAGUUGGUAAGGUAACGGCUUACCAAGGCAACGAUGCGUAGCCGACCUGAGAGGGUGAUCGGCCACACUGGAACUGAGACACGGUCCAGACUCCUACGGGAGGCAGCAGUAGGGAAUCUUCCGCAAUGGGCGAAAGCCUGACGGAGCAACGCCGCGUGAGUGAAGAAGGUCUUCGGAUCGUAAAACUCUGUUAUUAGGGAAGAACAAAUGUGUAAGUAACUAUGCACGUCUUGGCGGUACCUAAUCAGAAAGCCACGGCUAACUACGUG